rfam:Arabis alpina cultivar Pajares chromosome 8, whole genome shotgun sequence.
AUUCCAUGGUGAGGACAACUUCUGUUGUAUCCUUUAAGACGUUCUCAAGCUUCACUGAGGGCUCCUAAAUGCGCUGCCUAAACAAAAUGAUAUCACUUCUGUACU